AGAGUUUGAUCCUGGCUCAGGACGAACGCUGGCGGCGUGCUUAAUGAAUGCGAGUCGAACGAGAACCAGUGGAGUGCUUGCACAAAGCUGGGGACAGUGGCGAACGGGUGAGUAACACGUGGGUAACCUGCCCUGUAGUCGGGCACAACAGUUGGAAACGACUGCUAAUUCCCGAUAGUCUGCAGUAGCGUCGGCUAUUGUAGUAAAGGUUUUUCCGCUACAGGAUGGGCCCGCGGGCCAUUAGCUUGUUGGUGGGGUAACGGCCUACCAAGGCGACGAUGGCUAGCCGGUCUGAGAGGAUGAUCGGCCACACUGGGACUGAGACAUGGUCCAGACUCCUCCGGGAGUUAGCAUCAGGGAAUCUUGCGCAAUGGACGAAAGUCUGACGCAGCGACGCCGCGUGAGGGAUGAAGGUCUGCGGAUCGUAAACCUCUGUAAGCAGGGACGAAUGCCCGGCUCGGUCGGGAGAGACGGUACCUGCAAAGUAAGCUCCGGCUAACUACGUGCCAGCAGCCGCGGUAAUACGUAGGGAGCCAGCGUUGUCCGGAUUUACUGGGCGUAAAGAGCGCGUAGGCGGUUUUGUAAGCGGAGGGUGAAAUCUCGGGGCUCAACUCCGAGGCUGCUUUCCGAACUGCAAGACUAGAGUACGGGAGAGGAUAGUGGAAUUCCUGGUGUAGCGGUGGAAUGCGUAAAUAUCAGGAGGAACACCCGUGGCGAAGGCUGCUAUCUGGAACGUAACUGACGCUGAGGCGCGAAAGCUAGGGGAGCGAACGGGAUUAGAUACCCCGGUAGUCCUAGCCGUAAACGAUGGAUACUAGGUGUUGGAGGCAUCGACCCCUUCAGUGCUGUUCUGCUAACGCGUUAAGUAUCCCGCCUGGGGAGUACGGGCCGCAGGUUGAACUCAAAGGGAUUUGACGG
rnacentral:rRNA from 1 species